AUUAUAAUCAUUUCUAUGGACAUGUACAGUAAAAAUCAGGAGAAUCGAUGUUUUACGAUCGAUUACAAAUGAGAAGGGUGUCUUAUUCUGUUAUUAAAAAUCAAAAUCAUGGUUAUCUCUAAUAUUUGAUGAGGAGACUAUAUGAGAUAGACGUUGAGAUUCUUUGCUUUGAUCCUGCUGAGGGUGCUCGUUAGAUUGUAAACAGUAAUGAUCUCGCUAAUCUUGACCUUCUUGAUAUGGAACUGGUGCUGCUACUUGGAAAGUUAUGAUCCCUACAGUGAACUAGUGCACCUUGGUCUCAAAUUCGAUGAUCCAAGACUUAAACUUUCAUCCACAGCAAGUGGUUACACAUGAACCUUCUGAAUUGAAAUGACAUGGCUCUUCAAUAAACCAUCAAGGUGCCACUGACAAGCCUAAAAACCGACGGAUCCACAUCAAUUGAGAGAUCAUCUGUCAAUCUGCCAGAAUCAACAUUGUCGGUUGUGACAUCAAAACCAGUAAUUAAUGCGUCCCUCGGGGAUGGAAGCCAGUGGACAACCAUUGAGAAUGUGAGGUGUGGGCCCGAUCAUGGCAUUAGUACCGGAAGCUAGAAAAGUACCACAAUGAACAGCCCGUAAUGCAGGUAACUCCCAAGGAAUUGCGCCCGCAGAAACACAACAAAUGGGAUUAGGGUCAAAUCAUGGCCAGCUUCUCCCAGUGGGGUUGCCUCAGACUUGCAUUUUGAAAAACUUGUCAUGAACACAGUUAGCAAUCCAAUUCUCAUUGAUCAAGAGUACUCCCCUUGUAGUUAAUGCAAUUCCAAAGUGAGUUAUAAAGAUGAAUUGCGGUACAGAUGCAACCGAGCUUGCUGUCAAGCUUGUUUACAGUAGGGGCAUACCCUGUUUGAAAUGUGCAGAUGAAUGGAAUUAAAUUGGCAUAUGCUGCAAACUGCAAUUUCUAAAUGUGCUGAAAUUUCCCCAAUGCCUGCACAGAGCACUGCAUACAUACGUAUGUAUGCAUCUGUCUCUAUCAUUAUGCAUAAGAGAAUUCACCUUAAUGUUCCCAUGCAAACACGGGCCCAUCUCUCCUCCCCCUUUCACAAGGAUCAAAGGAUACUUUAAACAACAUGGGGUACUUUAUUGAACGCCUUUUUAUCAAAUACUACUUGAAGAAAUGUAAGUUUCUCACCUUCAAUUCCAACCAAGAAGGAUGGACACAAAAUGUAAAACGACUCUAUCCAACUAGGUUAGUCCCAGUUGUUUGGGCACUCGAGCUAGCUCUAAAAAGAGAGGCUCAAGGUUGCCUUAAAAGGGAAUGCCAAUAUGAAGUUUCUUGUUUGUUGCCUUUCAAAAAAUAAAAGAAGUUUCUUGUUUGUUCCAUAAACUGUCAUGGGUGGAUCACUUGGUCUAGAUCUCUCUUGCCAAACAAGAGAAUACAUCUAGCUGUCUCCAUGACAACAUUUUCACCAUGGGAGAAACUAACUCUACUUUCUAAACUUUAGGUCGUUCCUCAUAGAAAAUGGAAAGCCUCAUUUAAGCGGCUUCUACUUAAACAUACAUAAAAACCAAUAGAUUCAAGGUCCAAAUAGAUUUAGUUUCGGGUUACAUGGUAUAGCACUAGAACCAAAGAGCAAAAUUCACCGUACUUAACUAGCAUUAGUUGAAGAUAUUCAAAAAAAAACUCGCAUUAGUUGAAAUCUAUGUGCGCAAUUGAACAGCCCCAAAACUAUUGAAGUCAAGCUACAAGCAUUAACAAGAUAAAGAACUUCAAAUAGCCAAUGAGGUGAGUCCAGCUUUGCUUCAACAUUUCCAUAGAGGUCCUGCACAGCUACACCAAAAGAUGACUUUCACUUCCUGAAGCAACAUUGAACAAGAUCUUGAUAUUUGUUCUUGCGUCAAAAAACUUUCCCACAUAUCAGGAUCUGCACAUCUGAAUUUUUGCAUAAAAUUCAAAAGCUAGCGAAUAAGAGACUGAAUUAGGAUAGCAAAAACAGUGAGAGAAAUAAGAAUUUGUCUUUCAGAAAGCUCAGUUUUGAAAACACACCUAAUAGGCCAAUCCAAGUGCUAUAUUAAUGAAAUCACUGUAAAAAGACGAACUAAAAGAAAUUUAAAUAUAUAAAGUACCCAUGUUACAUAGAUUCUUCAAAAUAUAUAAAGUACCCGUGUUCAAAUUCUGAUAAAAGAAAUUUAAUUGCACUUUCACUGAGCAAACAUAUUUUGUAUUUCGGUUUAAUCAUGAAAUAUACAGAAGUCUUGGAUCACACUUGAACUCUUGUAUCGGUGUGGUCAACUGCACUCGACCCCCGUAAAUGAAUCCAUGUAAAAUAGCACCUCGUCCCUAUAUCUUCAGUAUACAGUUUACAGUUUACAGUUAACAGGUUGUCAUUUGUCAAUUAAUCAAUAAAUUAUUGCAAGUGAUGGAAUUACUCACUUUGGGUAAUUCAUCCCCCAAGUCCAAAUCAGGCCAAAUUUUGCAAACAAUCACAAGGUCAACACCAGGAAACUAAUCACGAACUCAAAUAAAAUUCUUCAAACUAAACAAACUUAUGACGAAGUGAUAUAAUGCAAUAGUACCUUACCAAAGAUUUUAUCAUAGUCAUUUGAAAGCAUCCAAUGGAGAGAAGAAGCAGGGUAUGUCAGCAACUGAAGGGCCCGAGGGUAUAAUAACAUGGUACUUAUUCUUUUUCAGCACUCUUGUUCGUGGAUUGUAAGAUGCUAUAGUAGUCUUGGUGAAAGGUUCUCGUGAGCUAAUAUCGUGGAACGCCAUCAACAGACUUCCAUCUUUCAACAUUUUCAAUGGCCUGACAAAUCCUUGAAACUUGCAAAUAAUUGGUUCUUCAAUGACGCAUUCCAAAGUCCAUGACCCAAAGUCCCCGUAAUCUUUCAUUGCCCAGAAUCUCCAUACACCAGACGAAUGCCCCUUGUGAAUGUACAACCGAUCAUCUACAACCACAAGAUAAAUCAAAUCUGUUCCAAUGUGGGAAGGCAAGGGAAAGCUUCGGAAGUGCUCUCUCUCGAUAUCGAAGUGGCAAACGAACAGUGAAUUAUCAGAACCUAUCCAGAGAAGAGCCCCAUUCAGAAAAAUAAUUUUCGAGAUAAUAAGAGCGGGUGGUUGUCCAGUGUCCCCCAUGCUCCUCCACUCAUCAUCAAUCCCAAUUGUAAAAAUGUCACAGUACAAUCUAGCCGGUCUAUAUGAAUUAGUAAAUCUUACCACCUUGUACCGAUCAGUUGAUGGACUAUGCCCAAACCCCAAUAGGGCAGUUUUAUGGGCUGAUGAUAUAUAGUCUGGUUUAUUGGUCGCCGGUAGUGCCAAUUCCGGAGGUUUUGGAAGAAUAAAUUGUUGUGCCCUAAGUGGGUUACACACAAUAAUAACAAGGUCAUCAGCAGACGAGGAAUUUGACAACAAAAUUGACCCAUUACAUGAGGCUACGAUGUUCAUACGAGGGAAGUGGAUUUCAGUUCUGAACUUCUUGGUGGCGUUCUGUCGAUCUAAAACAAGGGGAUCGUAGAGUUGGAGAAUUUCGAAGUAAGAGGGGGAGUUAAUAAUAUUACUAUUACCGUGGCGGUAGGAAAUGAGGCUGAGAGGAGACCGUGAGAGAUGCAAUUUGGCGAAGCAGGGUUCCAGAGUAAGGUCACACCAGGUCUUGCAAACUAGCUUGCAGGCGAAGAUGGAGUUGAGAGGGAGUCGAGAUAGAAUCUCGCACGUAAUGGGGUUUGGAAGGUCUGAAAUGGUGGCGGCGGCGGCUGCGUUCUGAAUUGCCUUUCUCUUUGAUCUUCUCAUUGUUGUCUUCCCUGUUUAAUCUGACCCCAAAACCCUAGAUUUGAAGUCUUCUGUUAUGGUUUUUUCGGAAUGGAAACGGUGAGGACUACUAUUUC